CAAGUCGAACGAGUUCUCGUUGAUGAUCGGUGCUUGCACCGAGAUUCAACAUGGAACGAGUGGCGGACGGGUGAGUAACACGUGGGUAACCUGCCCUUAAGUGGGGGAUAACAUUUGGAAACAGAUGCUAAUACCGCAUAGAUCCAAGAACCGCAUGGUUCUUGGCUGAAAGAUGGCGUAAGCUAUCGCUUUUGGAUGGACCCGCGGCGUAUUAGCUAGUUGGUGAGGUAAUGGCUCACCAAGGCGAUGAUACGUAGCCGAACUGAGAGGUUGAUCGGCCACAUUGGGACUGAGACACGGCCCAAACUCCUACGGGAGGCAGCAGUAGGGAAUCUUCCACAAUGGACGCAAGUCUGAUGGAGCAACGCCGCGUGAGUGAAGAAGGCUUUCGGGUCGUAAAACUCUGUUGUUGGAGAAGAAUGGUCGGCAGAGUAACUGUUGCCGGCGUGACGGUAUCCAACCAGAAAGCCACGGCUAACUACGUGCCAGCAGCCGCGGUAAUACGUAGGUGGCAAGCGUUAUCCGGAUUUAUUGGGCGUAAAGCGAGCGCAGGCGGUUUUUUAAGUCUGAUGUGAAAGCCCUCGGCUUAACCGAGGAAGCGCAUCGGAAACUGGGAAACUUGAGUGCAGAAGAGGACAGUGGAACUCCAUGUGUAGCGGUGAAAUGCGUAGAUAUAUGGAAGAACACCAGUGGCGAAGGCGGCUGUCUGGUCUGUAACUAACGCUGAGGCUCGAAAGCAUGGGUAGCGAACAGGAUUAGAUACCCUGGUAGUCCAUGCCGUACACGAUGAAUGCUAGGUGUUGGAGGGUUUC
rnacentral:rRNA from 1 species